CCUACGGGAGGCAGCAGUGAGGAAUCUUGGUCAAUGGGCGCGAGCCUGAACCAGCCAAGUCGCGUGAGGGAAGACGGUCCUAUGGAUUGUAAACCUCUUUUGUCGGGGAGCAAAAGACGCCACGCGUGGCGUUCCGAGAGUACCCGAAGAAAAAGCAUCGGCUAACUCCGUGCCAGCAGCCGCGGUAAUACGGAGGAUGCGAGCGUUAUCCGGAUUUAUUGGGUUUAAAGGGUGCGCAGGCGGAAGAUCAAGUCAGCGGUAAAAUUGAGAGGCUCAACCUCUUCGAGCCGUUGAAACUGGUUUUCUUGAGUGAGUGAGAAGUAUGCGGAAUGCGUGGUGUAGCGGUGAAAUGCAUAGAUAUCACGCAGAACUCCGAUUGCGAAGGCAGCAUACCGGCGCUCAACUGACGCUCAUGCACGAAAGUGUGGGUAGCGAACAGGAUUAGAUACCCUUGUAGUC
rnacentral:rRNA from 1 species